rnacentral:tRNA from 2 species
GCGGGCGUGGCGGAAUUGGUAGACGCAAGGGACUUAAAAUCCCUCGGGCUUUGCCCGUGCGGGUUCGAUCCCCGCCGCCCGCACCA